AUCAGAAAGAGAGUCAGAGAGAGAUAAGAAAAGAGAAGACGCAAGAGAAUGGGGGUGGGGUGACAGAGCAAGGGAAAGGGAGAGAUGGAGGGGGACAGCAGGCCAGUUACCUUCCCCUUCUGACUUUCAGUUUCCUUAUCUGCUGCUCCAUGUGCAGGGUGCCCUGAGGCAGGGCCGGGAGAGAUAGUAACUCAUGGUUUAAUGGCCAGAAGAAUCAAUGCCUCCCAUCUUCUGUUCUAGUACUUUCUAUAUUACUUUCUCUCUUGUUCUUAAUUCAGUUCCUUUGUCCCUCCUCUAUACCACAGAGUGACUAUUAUCCACAUUUUUUUUUUCUGAUGAAGAAAUCAAAUGGGAGCCCAAAUCUGUUGUCACCAUCUCUGUGGGGGGGAAGAUGAUCUGCUGCUUCUCUGGUGAUGGUGACUGAGACUCCUAGAGUGCCCCUAAAUCCCCUCUGCCUAGAAAAUUCAGAGCUUCCACUAUGAGAAGGAAGAAAUAGAGGGAGAAGCCAGUGGAGUGGAAGAGGGAGGGCAGGACAGAAGGUUUUAAUGAGAGGUGUCAGUGUGUGUAAAUUACCUAGCAUACAGUUGGUGCUCUAUUAGUGCCCCUUCCCUUUCCUAAUGGAGAGCACUGAGAGCAGGAAGGAAGAGGAGGCAGCAGAGAGGAAGGGAAAGGGGGAAGGAGAUUGUGAGGAAGGGAGGUUGUGCUUAUAAAGGGCAAGCACACAGUAGGUGCUCAAUAAAUGUCCACUCCUAUUUUCAGGAGAGAGGAGACAAGUCAGAAAGGUGAAGAAACCACCACAGAGGAAAAAUGGGAGGAAAGACAGCCUGAGGAGAAUGAGAGAGAGAGAGAGAAAGAGUCAUUGGUGGAAAUUGCUGGGCAUAUAGUAGGUGCUUAUUAAGUAUGAGUUCUUUUCCCAGGAGAAACAAGAAAGGUGGGGAGGUGAAGUUCCAGCAGAGACAAUGAACAGAAGUUGCGAGGGAAGGAGACAAUACAUGUAAAGCAGUGGGCACACAGUAGGCACUUAAUGGCCAUUCCCCUUCCUGCUGGUGAGCACAGAAAAAGCAGCCUGGAGGAGGGAAGGAAGCAGAGAGGAGGAGAGAAGGAAGAACAGAGCCUGUGAGACGAGCAAUGACAGGCAGUGGAUAUGAAGGAGCAGCACAGAGUAGGUGCUUAAUAUAUGCCUAUUUCCUCCCCCAGGAGAGAGCAGACAGGGCAGAGAGCAGACAGGGCAGAGAAGCCCAGGUGAAGAAAUGAAGAAGAGAGAGAGUGUGUAGGUUAGGCUGUGAGUACACAGGAAGCGCUCAAUAAAUGCACAUUGGCUUCCUAGAGGGGGAGAGAGAACAAGAUGGAAAGGAAGGUGCAGGUACAGGCGAAGGGAAAGGAAGGUUGGCUGAGGAGGUUGAGGGCAGAGAAAGCCAGAGGCUGGUGGAGCAGAAGGGAGGAGGUGACCUCGAGAAGAAUUGGCAACGGAGAGGAGACACAGGGAGGAGGCGGUGCAGGCAAAUCGUGGGAUACACAGCAGGUGCUUGGUAAAUGCUUGUUUUCUCACCCAAAAGAGGGCCUAGAGAACAUAGGGAAGGGAGAAGCUGGCAGAGCAAGAGGGGGACAGGGAGAGAGGCAAGAGGAGAUAAAAUGGGAUGAUUGCCUGGCAUACAGUUGGUGCUCCAUAGGUGCUUGUUCUCUUCCCCAAGAAAGAACAGAUGGAGCAGAAAUGAAGAAAUAGGGAAAAUUGAGGGGGAGAGGAGCAUAAGGAGAUUGUCUGGCAUACAAUAGGUGCUCAAUAAAUGCCCAAUUCUUUCCCUGGCAGACAGCAAAAAGCAGCAGAGGGUAGCAGAGCUCACAGGUCAGUGAAAUAGGUUGAGAGGAGAGAAAGCACAGGCGAUUGCUUUAGCCUACCAUGGGUGCUCAGUAAAUGUGUUUUCUUUGCCUUGGAAAAGAGCAUAGAGCCCAGAACCACAAGGAGGGAACAGAGAAGAAACAGGAGAGGAAGAGGGUGUGAGGAAGGGAGAGAAGAUGUGUAAACUACCUGGCAUACAGUAGGUGCUCAAUAUGUGUUCAUUCCCUCCCCUAGGAGGGAGCAGAAAGAAAGGGGAGGCCAUCAGGAGAGGGGGAAGAAAGGAAUUGGGGGAGAAAGAGGUGUAGUAAGAGAGGAGACAGGGUUUGUAAAUUUCCGAAGACACAGUAGGUGCUCCACAAAUGUGCAUUCUUGGCCCAGGAGACCAGACAGUCAUGAAGUGCAAGGGAUCAGGGUGCAAGGGACAAGAGAGCUCGAGCACAGGCCCAGAGGAAACAAACACUGGGAACUUAAAAAAAAAAAAAAAAAAAAAAGGUCCCGUUUCCUCCUCAGAAUGGGGGCCAGAGCCCAGGAAGAACAGAGGGCGAACCGAGGGAGCCAGGGAGGCAUUUCGGUUCCCCUUUGACCUCCAGAAGUCUUGGAACCAGAACUGGCCAAGUCCACAUCUCAGCGUCACAGCUGGCUCCACGAGCACGAGCACCUGCUCUAUCUGCACCCCACCUUCUUUCUGGUGUCAGAGUUUAGCUUGUGUCCUUGCGAGAUAUUUGCUGUCCCGAAGGAACCCAACCUGAGCCUGAGAGCGAGUGCCUGGCUUCAGCUGUGUAGAUCAGAUCCAGAGGUGGGGGCCAGGGGAGCCGUGUGAAUGGCCAACCGGACAAGGAAGCUGCAGCAAGGGGAUGGAUGGCCCUGGGGAGGGGCCACAGAAUAGGAAGGGUCUCGCUCAGGUUUCCUACGGACUCUCCUUUCCUGCUUCCUCCUCCACCUUUCAAGACCCUCGGAUGGCAUCCUCCCUCCCCCCAUAACAUGGGAUCAUUUCCCAGUUUCAAGGCCAGUGGAUGAAUAAGCUUGGUUGCCCUCCCCCUCCUAACAGAACACAGUGGCAGCUUCCGGGGGUCGUGGCGUGGCCAUCUCUUGGACAACUGAUGGAGCAGAAUCAAGAAUCCAGAAAGAAACUUGCUUUCUCCCCUGCCCUUAUCCCACCAAACACCCUGGAUCACCUAUUUGCUCCUGGUCUCUGCCUGCCAAUGGCUCAUGAGGGCAGGGACUCCUGCUAUUUUCUCCUGUGGCCCUGAUGAAGAAACUGAGGCCCAGAGAGGUGGGUGACUCACCGGACCUGGAGGAGAGCCAGCAUGUGACCUCCCAGGCUCUAGUCAAUGCCUGGCUGGCUAGCGGGGGGGCCCCCUCCCCACCCCUCUCCAGGAGCCCCUGGAGGGAAGGGCCCCCCAGGCAGAUGCAGGCCAGGCCGGUAGCAAAUGAGCAGAUUUAUUGAGGCAGCAGUGGCAUCAGGGAGCAGGGGGUUUGGAAGGGGGCUGGGGCCUCCACGGGGUCCAUGAGGUGCGGGCCUAGCCCUUUCCCAGCACGCAGGGGCCAGAUCUGGACGCGUAGAGACUGCACGACAGGUGGCCCACUUCUUGCCUCUGCUGGGUCAGACCGUCCGCAGCCAGCAGCCCUUCUCUUCCACCUCCUUGGUCACCACCAGCAGCACCUCACACAGGCCCUGGGCCAGGGCAGCUGCCAGGAAGGCCCUGGGCAGAGAGAUGAGGAGACUGAGGCCCAGGAGCCUGGGCGUUGCCUCCUGGGGAGUGGGGAGCCAGUGCCAAGCCCCAGCCCCAGAGUCGCCUCCCCCUCACCUGACACCAUCCUCGUCCCCUAGGGCCUCGGGCGCCCGCAGCUUGGAGUCCAGGUUGUAGUAGACGCCAUCCACCUGGCGGAGGGCCACCCAGUGCCGCCGGCGCAGUGGCAGGGACAGCAGCCCCAGGGACAUGGGUGAGGGCAGGUUCAGGAUCAGUCCCAGUACCUGGGACAGGGCCAGCUGGGACAGGGGCCUGUGUGGGUGGAGUGGGGACACGGCCGUCAGUGUCCUGUGCUCACCCACUGGCCCAGGGGUACUGAACUCGUGGGAGCCAGGCUGGCAUGACAGCAGGAGCCCCCAGGCCUGCCCAAGGACUCUCUUCGCUCUUUAUUUCCUUUCAUUCACCCAUGCACCCAAAUCUCCCACCCAUCUAGUGACCACCCCCCUCAACUACCCAACUAUCGUACACCCAAACAUCAUUCAUCUACUGAUGUAACUGAUCAGCCAGCCAGCCACCAGCUCAACAACUUACCCACCAUCCUCCAACACCUCAUCCAGUCUUUAGCCAUCCACCUGUCCAUCUGUCCAUCCAUCCCUCCAACUAUCCAACCACCUAUUAGCUAUCCAUUGCCUAUCAAUUAUCCUUUAUUAACUCAUCCACUUCGUCAGCCAACCACCACCUCCUCAACACAUCCAAUUACACAUUUACCAUCCACCUCAUUACCAGAUUACCGUCUACCUACCCACUAUCCGUCCAUCGGCUCAUCCUAUUGUCCGUCCUGUCAUCCCACUCAUCUUUGUACCAUCUCCCAACCCUUUGGCUGGCCAUCCAUCCAUCAUCCACCCAUGCAAACCUUCCACUCAUUGUACCCCUUCCUUCUCACCUCCUAUCCACCCACCCUCUGCUUUAUCUCACACCGAUAUUGUCACACCGCACCCACUGUGCCAGGCUCAGCACACAUGACGCAGUGCUUGGGGUCCCACCUCCUUCUGUCCCACCACACGGUGGCCAGGCCCAGCCCCUGCAGGGCUGCCAUGAUCACGUUGACAUCAUAGUUGCCGGUGCCGAGGAGGCUGCGAUGGGGAUUCAGCCGGGAGUCUGGGGCCAACCUGGUCAGGGGAUGGUCAGAGCUUGAGCUGGGGGUCCCUGAAAAGGUCUUGCCCUCCCUACAAAGCAGGAGAGUCCCAGGGACCUUGAAUCAUCCAGCCUUUGGACUCUUCCCUUUGCUCAACCCCAUGGCUCAUCAGCCCCAAGCCUGAUCCCACCGUCCCCAACUCUCUCUGCCCUGUCCUAUAGCCACAUUUCCCUGCGCAGGCCUUGUCCUCCCUGACCUGAAGCCUCAUCUGGUCUCCCCACCUCUCCUCCAGCCAUCCCCCAGCUCAGGAGGCCCACCUUGCCACUAUUUGUCUCUCUGGGUCCUGCCUUCUCUGAACAGUGACACCUUUGUUCUUUCUCUUGGCCCUUGGUGGGCAGGGGGAGGGGGAGGGGCAGGGGCCUGAGAGGGAAAGUCUGUGUAUUAUUUUCCUGCAUAUCUGUUUGCCUGACCUCCCUCAGGGCAGGGCCUAUACUGGACUCAUCUCUGGGUCUCCAGCAUGGCCUCAGCAUCCAAGAGUUGAUGGACCCCUGUUGUGAAUGGCAGAGGAGAUGAAUAAAUUCUAUAACAAUUGG